AGAUAGUAUUGAGAAACAUAUCUGAGGUUCACUUCUGGUCUCUCCACAUGCUGCUGUGCACACAUUUAAGAAAACUAUGCAGGGCGAAUUGGUUCCUUUCCGGCCAGCUGGAGCCUCGGCCUCCCAGUCGGUAGCAGUACCACAAAUCCUGCGAAAGGAGUCCUCCGGGUAGAACCAUGAUGGUCGAGUUCGCGCCACUCAACACCCCGCUGGCACGGUGCCUACAGACCGCUGCGGUGCUGCAGUGGGUCCUGUCCUUCCUCCUGCUCGUGCAGGUGUGCAUUGGAAUUAUGGUGAUGCUGGUCCUGUACAACUAUUGGUUCCUUUACAUCCCAUAUCUGGUCUGGUUUUACUAUGACUGGAGAACCCCAGAGCAAGGAGGCAGAAGAUGGAACUGGGUCCAAAGCUGGCCUGUGUGGAAGUAUUUUAAGGAGUAUUUUCCAAUCUGUCUUGUCAAAACGCAGGAUUUGGAUCCGGGUCACAAUUAUAUAUUUGGAUUUCACCCUCAUGGAAUAUUCGUGCCUGGAGCCUUUGGAAAUUUUUGUACAAAAUACUCAGACUUCAAGAAGCUAUUUCCUGGCUUUACAUCGUAUCUCCACGUGGCCAAGAUCUGGUUCUGUUUCCCGUUGUUCCGAGAAUAUCUGAUGAGUAACGGGCCGGUUUCAGUGUCUAAGGAGAGUUUGUCUCAUGUGCUGAGCAAGGAUGGAGGUGGCAAUGUCUCAAUCAUUGUCCUCGGAGGUGCAAAGGAGGCGCUGGAGGCUCACCCAGGAACAUUCACCCUGUGCAUCCGCCAGCGCAAAGGGUUUGUUAAGAUGGCCUUGACCCAUGGUGCCAGUUUGGUUCCAGUAUUUUCUUUUGGUGAAAAUGAUCUAUAUAAGCAAAUUAACAACCCCAAAGGCUCCUGGCUACGAACUAUACAAGACGCAAUGUAUGAUUCAAUGGGAGUAGCCUUGCCACUGAUAUAUGCCAGAGGAAUUUUCCAGCACUACUUUGGCAUAAUGCCCUAUCGGAAGCUGAUCUACACUGUUGGCUUAUUGGGACUGGAAAUUCCAGCAACAAAUUGGCUGAUCCUCACUCUAUGAAAUCAAAGAACAAGGGGAUCGCAUAGAGCUGUCAAUGAGACCAGGACUCCAGCCCUCAGAAUGGCUCCUUCCACAUUCAAGAGUCCAAAUUUGGCUUCAUCUCCUUUUGGAAGAGGUUCAUUCCUUGGAAAUUUUCUAGACCAUACAAACCAACUUGUGGCAGGUAGCUCCGGUUCUGACUGCCUAGGUCCUGACUUGUGCAUCACAUCCUCUGACCUUUGUUUUCAUCUGAUAGUUUUUGUUGCAAGUCGACUCUGGGAUGAUCUUCUCCUAGUGUAACUCCAGCAUGAAAUUGUGACAAACAAAAUAUUCCAUUUGCCUCUCCAAACCUAAGUGUCAAAGUACCAGAUGAUGUGGGCAGGGUUGGGUCAUCUAAUUCUACCUGGUAGUUCUAGGAGCACCUGUGUUGUUGGGCAAAAAGAGGAGAGAUAAACUUGAGUUGGAUGUAGUGGCACAGGCCUGUAAUUUCAGGAUUCAGGCAGCUAAAGCCGGAUGACCACUGUGAAUGAGGAAAAAAGUGAGGAGGGACACAGCCAUGUGGCUCACAUGGUAGGAUGCUUGCUUUGAAGAGACGAUGCUCUGGGUUCAAUCUCCGCUACACAUGAGCCAGGCAUGGUAGAAUACAUGUGUAAUCCUUGUGCUCAGGGGCUGGAGGCAGGAGGAUCAGAUACUCACAGUCAUCCUUAGCUACUUAGUGAAUUUGAUUUGAGCCUCGGAUACAUGAGACCUUGUCUUUUAAAAAGGGAGUCUGGAGACAGGUGUGGUGAUAUGCAUCUAUAAUCCUCUGGACUUCAAGGCCAGUCUCUAGUACACAAGAAUGAAGCCAGUUUGGACUACCAGAACCCUGUCUCAGACAACAACAACAAACCCCUUUCUAGCCCAGUAAAGAAAGUCCCUAGGACUCCCAUGUUGGAAGAAGAGAACUCGUUCAAGCUUGAUUUUCCAUAGGAGUACCUCUGUACAUUUGUCUGCAAAGUAACACAAAAUAAACAAGUAAAGCUUAUUUUAAAAAUAAAAUAAAACCUCAAAGGUUUAUAUUUUAAAAA